rnacentral:rRNA from 1 species
GAUGAACGCUGGCGGCGUGCUUAACGCAUGCAAGUCGAACGGUGAAAGCGGGAGCUUGCUCCUGCUGGAUCAGUGGCGAACGGAUGAGUAACACGUGAGCAAUCUGCCCCGAACUCUGGGAUAAGCGCUGGAAACGGCGUCUAAUACCGGAUACGACGCGCGACGGCAUUGUCUGCGCGUGGAAAGAACUUCGGUUCGGGAUGAGCUCGCGGCCUAUCAGCUUGUUGGUGGGGUAAUGGCUCACCAAGGCGACGACGGGUAGCCGGCCUGAGAGGGUAACCGGCCACACUGGGACUGGGACACGGCCCAGACUCCUACGGGAGGCAGCAGUGGGGAAUAUUGCACAAUGGGCGCAAGCCUGAUGCAGCAACGCCGCGUGAGGGACGACGGCCUUCGGGUUGUAAACCUCUUUUAGCAGGGAAGAAGCGAGAGUGACGGUACCUGCAGAAAAAGCACCGGCUAACUACGUGCCAGCAGCCGCGGUAACAC